UCUGUUGACAUGGUUUUGUUUUGUUUCUAUUAUUGAGGUUUAUUCAAAAAUGAGAGCUGGAAUAUGGUCAUCUUCUUUACAUUUCUUUGUGCUUCAAGCAAUUGGACAAUGAGCAAAGGCUAAAGAACGAGGAACAAAAAGGUGUAGAAACUUCUAAGAAAUGAAAAUGCAGACAGCGUAUGCAACUAAAAUGAAGGACUGCAUUAUCAAAUUCAUGAGUUUUCAAAGAAGGAUUCAUUUAUGUCACCCUACUCAACGUACUAAAACAGUCAUUAAGAGAAAUGAUCGCAAACUGGUCAGAAUGCUUUUUGGAAGGAAAAAAAAUCACCCUCAGAUUGUACAGUUCCAAACAUCCCUUUAAAUCAAUAAGAAACAAAGCUCUAAUAAAGAAUGCUGAAUCAGGCCCCUCACCACCGUACUAAUUAUGCAGAGAGCACCCAGUGAUGUUUACAGUGGACCUUUCCACGACCUGACCAUAACAUUAAACUCGGAGUCUAUUCCAGGAGCAGGCAAGUCUCCAUAAAAAUUUUAUUUUGAAAGGCAAAUGCUUACUCACUGCCUAACACUGAAAGACGUGGUUACUCCUACUUUGCUCUCCCUAAACAUC
rnacentral:lncRNA from 1 species